rnacentral:rRNA from 1 species
GUACACUCCUACGGGAGGCAGCAGUGGGGAAUUUUGGACAAUGGGCGAAAGCCUGAUCCAGCAAUGCCGCGUGAGUGAAGAAGGCCUUCGGGUUGUAAAGCUCUUUUGUCAGGGAAGAAACGGUGAAAGCUAAUAUCUUUUGCUAAUGACGGUACCUGAAGAAUAAGCACCGGCUAACUACGUGCCAGCAGCCGCGGUAAUACGUAGGGUGCAAGCGUUAAUCGGAAUUACUGGGCGUAAAGCGUGCGCAGGCGGUUUUGUAAGUCUGAUGUGAAAUCCCCGGGCUCAACCUGGGAAUUGCAUUGGAGACUGCAAGGCUAGAAUCUGGCAGAGGGGGGUAGAAUUCCACGUGUAGCAGUGAAAUGCGUAGAUAUGUGGAGGAACACCGAUGGCGAAGGCAGCCCCCUGGGUCAAGAUUGACGCUCAUGCACGAAAGCGUGGGGAGCAAACAGGAUUAGAUACCCGGGUAGUCCCAUGAU